UGUGAGCGUGUUCGCGUUGGUUUCAUGAUGGUCUGGAGACUCAAGCGAGCUUGCACCUUCGUGUAUGCGUGUUCGGCCAGCACCUGGUUAGGCACAGUCGGAAAUGCGAACGAUGGUGCUCAAGAUGGCACAUGCAACGCUAUGCAGCUGUGGACACCAGCAGCUUGAUAAGAACUCUCGAAGCUCAUCUGGAUGCUUCACAGAACCUGGGAAGACUGAACACUUUUGGCAAAGCAGCAACAGUUCUGGCCCAUCUGUUUGUCUACAAGACGGUCUCUUCCGUGAACACUCCUGUGCCUUACAGUAUACUAUACUG